rnacentral:rRNA from 1 species
UACGAAGGGGGCUAGCGUUGCUCGGAAUCACUGGGCGUAAAGCGCACGUAGGCGGAUUGUUAAGUCAGGGGUGAAAUCCUGGAGCUCAACUCCAGAACUGCCUUUGAUACUGGCGAUCUCGAGUCCGGGAGAGGUGAGUGGAACUGCGAGUGUAGAGGUGAAAUUCGUAGAUAUUCGCAAGAACACCAGUGGCGAAGGCGGCUCACUGGCCCGGUACUGACGCUGAGGUGCGAAAGCGUGG